rnacentral:piRNA from 1 species
GACUCAGUUAUGGUGACCUGGAAGGAGUG